AACAUUAUGUACUAUAUUAUACUAUAUACUAUACUAGGAUACCCAGUCAUUAUACAGUAUAUUGUACUAUACAUUAUACAAGCGUAUCCAAUCAUCAUACAGAGUAUACUACACAUUACACUAGGUUGUCCUGUCAUUAUGCAGUAUAUCAUAAUAGGGUGUUUAAUCAUUACAUUAUAGCAAAUUCCAGUUUUUUAUGUUUGCAAGUUAAAAUGAUGUUUUAUGGUUUAUAUGUGAUAAGUUUGUGUUCUCUGUGCCCAGGUGCAACCACUGCUCCCAGUCUGAUCUUCAUCCUUCCUGGACUAUUUUACAUUCGCAUCAUCCCCACUGACCAGGAGCCAAUGAAGUCCAGACCAAAGAUUCAGGCGGCAUGUUUCACAGCAUUAGGUUUCAUCUUCAUGACCAUGAGUCUGACCUUCAUCGGAAUCGACUGGACAAGUGGAGAAAAGCGAAAUCUUGGUGGACAUUAGUUCAAACCCUGCGGCACUUAAGUAAACUCAAGAAGCUGCUGCCCUUCCUCACCCGUACUCAACAGAGCAGGACUAAAACCAACGGCAAGAGGUUCUGGGAUCUUUUUUUAUUAAUCAAUGAUCAGUUGACUUCAGUGGUGUUGAGAUGUAACCAACCCAGGUUAAUAAACCGUUCACACCAUCAAGGGUUAACCAUAACAGGCUGAAUCCUACAAGGGUCAAUUUUUACAACCGUCGCUGCAAAGCUUCGUACUGGACCUAGCUUUGCCCAUUAUUAUCUUCAAGGAAAAGCCUAAGUGUGUCCGCACCCUGUGGAAGUAAUGGCAUUACUCCAGCUGAGCAUUCAGCGUUUUAGCACUAGAACUACUUAUAAUAUUUGCUCAAGGAGCUAAAAAGCAACAAAACAAAAUCCAAUAAUUGGAUAUUUGCUAAGGAGGAGCAAACAGGCACAGAGGCAUUAAAUGUCAGCAGAC